CGACUGGAGGCUGAACGGGAAAUCAGCGCAGGAUCAGAGGAGGAAUACUAAAUCCUGCAUAAGAACAUCGAGGAAGGAGAACGUGUGAAUCAUCUGCAGCUUAACUCCAGAGACUCCAGAGACCGGCAACGUUAUACGUAAUGAAGUCACAUGACCCAAAUAACACAGAAAUAUACUUCCAGCAAUCCUUCAGCGAUGCACAAGAAAUGUAAUUUCACGAUAUGAAAACUUCUGUCUGGUUCCAGAGCAGGGCAAUGAAUAGAAAUGCAUUCAGGAUGGACAUUGUGUUUGAUGAGCAAUAGGAGAUGCAGUUUUAUAUAUCCAGGGUUACUUGCUGUUUUGGCACUUUUCAGAUACACUAUUAGAGGGCAGAUUACAGCUGUUUGGAUGUCC